rnacentral:rRNA from 1 species
CCUACGGGAGGCAGCAGUGGGGAAUAUUGCGCAAUGGGCGAAAGCCUGACGCAGCGACGCAGCGUGAGGGAUGAAGGUCUUCGGAUCGUAAACCUCUGUCAGAAGGGAAGAACGGUCACUGUACUAAUCAGCAGUGAAUUGACGGUACCUGCUAAGGAAGCACCGGCUAACUCCGUGCCAGCAGCCGCGGUAAUACGGAGGGUGCGAGCGUUAAUCGGAAUUACUGGGCGUAAAGCGAUCGUAGGCGGUAUGUCAAGUCAAGGGUGAAAUCCCCGCGCUCAACGUGGGAACUGCCUUGGAGACUGGCAAACUGGAGUGUGUGAGAGGAUAGUGGAAUUCCAGGUGUAGGAGUGAAAUGCGUAGAUAUCUGGAGGAACAUCAGUGGCGAAGGCGACUAUCUGGCACAUAACUGACGCUGAGGAGCGAAAGCGUGGGUAGCAAACAGGAUUAGAUACCCUAGGAGUC